UAAAAAUUUUGUGUUUUAAUACAUUGCCAUGCACAUAUGAAGUCAAAUAAUGCGGAGUACAAAAUUGUCAAGUAUACAAAAUGAUAAAGCAGAUUUCCAAGCCUCCUAGAGAUCAUGCCCACGGACACCAGAGAGAAAAAACAAUAAACUUUGAAAAUUUUCAUUUAACUCAAUUUAAAGAGAAUGCCUGCCUCCUCAUCAACUCUUUCUAAAGACAGUUGAAAACAAUUAAAAAAAUCAAAAAACUAGAACAGUGAAUCAAUGGGCAUUAACAUGUUGACAGCCACUUAAAUAUGGAAAUGGACAGGUUAAAUGAUGUGUAAUCAUUCUCGUAUCUGGGAAAAAUAAGGUUUUCUGCACAUUAUUUUUGCCCCUGGAAUUCCUAGGGGAAUACAAUAUAUGCCCAUCAGAAAGGCACUCGAUGUUAUCACUCUAUUUGGAUGUCUACAGAGAUAUAGUAUUAUGGUAUAAAGGGAGGAAACAGUUGUGGGUGAUGAAAAAAGAAAAUACCUGUUUAUCAAACCCUUCUCAGGAAGCUGAUGCAGGUGCUGGCUUAUGGUAUACUUAUAGAAGCUGUGAAAAAGGUCUGACCUACACAGGGCUAUGGUGUUACAAAGUACACUUACUAAACCUAGCUGACAACGUGUGCUCCUGCACACAAGCACGGGCAUGCAGUUUACCAAAGAGGGAGUGAGCAGUUUUCACUGGUUUGCUUCCCGAUAUUACAAGAAGUUUUUUCUGGCCUACAAUUCACUUCACAUGGGGUGGUCUUUCCUUCCUUCAUCAGAACCCACACUACUGGAUGGUGGCUAAUGGACAGAAAUUCAGGGUAGAAUGAUCUGAUUCCUUACCCUCCAUUUGUCAACUACCUACUUCUGCCCUUCAGCAAUACAGGGAUCAAAAAAACCUAUCUUGUAAAAAAAAAAAAAAAAAAAAAAAAAAAAAAAAAAAGCCAAAUCCAAAGCUCUCUCCUUUGGCUGGCUGGUUCACAAGAGCGCAAUGCAUUGGGAAAUGGAGCCGGGAUGACAGAUGACUGCCUCAGUCUUUGGAAUUCAUAAGACAGCACGAAUCUCAUUUGGCAAAUCAGAUAGUUGUGGGAUAGGUAGAUCACUCCUUUCUUUCCUGGUUU
rnacentral:lncRNA from 1 species